GUGGUAAUACCUCAGUGGUAGAGUACAUGCUUAGCAUGCAAGAAGUCCUGGGUUCAAUCCCCAGUACCUCC
rnacentral:tRNA from 1 species